UACGGAGGGUGCAAGCGUUGCUCGGAAUUAUUGGGCGUAAAGGGUGCGUAGGCGGUUCGGUAAGUUUCGUGUGAAAUCUUCGGGCUCAACUCGAAGUCUGCACGAGAUACUGCCGGGCUUGAGUGUGGGAGAGGUGAGUGGAAUUUCCGGUGUAGCGGUGAAAUGCGUAGAUAUCGGAAGGAACACCUGUGGCGAAAGCGGCUCACUGGACCAUAACUGACGCUGAGGCACGAAAGCGUGGGGAGCAAACAGG
rnacentral:rRNA from 1 species